rnacentral:rRNA from 1 species
AUGUGGUCAAGCUACAAAGAGCUUAUGGUGGAUCCCUCGGCACACAGAGGCGAUGAAGGACGUGGCGACCGACGAAACGCUCCGGGGAGCUGGAAGCAAGCAAUGAGCCGGAGAUAUCCGAAUGGGGCAACCCCAAAGAACUAACUGCUGAAUCCAUAGGCAGUAAAGAGCCAACCCAGUGAACUGAAACAUCUUAGUAGCUGGAGGAAAAGAAAUCAAAAGAGAUUCCCUGAGUAGUGGUGAGCGAAACGGGAAGAGCCUAAACCAUCAAGCAUGCUUGGUGGGGUAGUGGGACAGCAACGUGGGACUCGAGAAGUUAGACAAAGCAACUGAAAACUGCACCAGAGAAGGUAAAAGUCCUGUAGUCGAAAGCUUCAAAAGCCCUAGCUGAAUCCCGAGUAGCACGGGGCACGUGAAAUCCCGUGUGAAUCAGCCGAGACCACUCGGUAAGGCUAAAUACUACUGUGUGACCAAUAGCGAACCAGUACCGCGAGGGAAAGGUGAAAAGAACCCCGGAAGGGGAGUGAAAUAGAACGUGAAACCGUAAGCUUACAAGCAAUGGAAGCUCGAUUGAACGAGUGACCGUGUGCCUGUUGAAGAAUGAGCCGGCGACUUAUAAGCAGUGGCAGGUCAAAGCAUUCAAUGCUCAAGCCAAAGCGAAAGCGAGUCUGAAAAGGGCGAUAAGUCACUGUUUAUAGACCCGAACCCGGGUGAUCUAACCAUGUCCAGGAUGAAGCUUGGGUAACACCAAGUGGAGGUCCGAACCGACUGAUGUUGAAAAAUCAGCGGAUGAGGUGUGGUUAGGGGUGAAAUGCCAAUCGAACCCGGAGCUAGCUGGUUCUCCCCGAAAUGUGUUGAGGCGCAGCGGUUGUGAUUAUAGUCUGGGGGUAAAGCACUGUUUCGGUGCGGGCUGCGAGAGCGGUACCAAAUCGAGACAAACUCAGAAUACCAGAUGCACACACAGCCAGUGAGACGGUGGGGGAUAAGCUUCAUCGUCAAGAGGGAAACAGCCCAGACCACCAGCUAAGGCCCCCAAAUGGUCACUAAGUGAUUAAGGAGGUGGGAGUGCAAAGACAACCAGGAGGUUUGCCUAGAAGCAGCCAUCCUUGAAAGAGUGCGUAAUAGCUCACUGGUCAAGCGCUCCUGCGCCGAAAAUGAACGGGGCUAAGUGACAUGCCGAAGCUGUGGGAUAUAUAAAGUAUCGGUAGGGGAGCGUUCCGCAGUAGUGAGAAGCACUAGCGACAAGCAGGUGUGGACGAAACGGAAGUGAGAAUGUCGGCUUGAGUAGCGCAAACAUUGGUGAGAAUCCAAUGCCCCGAAACCCCAAGGGUUCCUCCGGAAGGCUCGUCCGCGGAGGGUUAGUCAGGGCCUAAGGCGAGGCAGAAAUGCGUAGUCGAUGGACAACGGGUCAACAAUCCCGUACCAGUAAUUGUUGGUGCAGAGGGACGGAGAAGGCAAGAGCCAGCCGGAUGUUGGUUACCGGUUCAAGCGUUCGAGGUGAUGAGGGACGGAGAAAACGGCCCGAGCUAAGGCGCGAGUACGACCCCCUACGGGGGGGAAGUGGUAUCAGUCAAGCUUCCAAGAAAAGCUCUAAACACCAUAAAUAAUUACCGCCUGUACCCGAAACCGACACAGGUGGGGAGGUUGAGAAUACCAAGGGGCGCGAGAUAACUCUCUCUAAGGAACUCGGCAAAAUGACCCCGUAACUUCGGGAGAAGGGGUGCCUUCAGAAAUGAAGGUCGCAGUGAAGAGAUCCAGGCGACUGUUUACCAAAAACACAGGUCUCCGCUAAGUCGCAAGACGAUGUAUGGGGGCUGACGCCUGCCCAGUGCCGGAAGGUUAAAGAAGUCGGUUAGGCGCAAGCCGAAGCUGGCGACUGAAGCCCCGGUGAACGGCGGCCGUAACUAUAACGGUCCUAAGGUAGCGAAAUUCCUUGUCGGGUAAGUUCCGACCCGCACGAAAGGCGUAACGAUCUGGAUGCUGUCUCGGAGAGAGGCUCGGCGAAAUAGGAAUGUCUGUGAAGAUACGGACUGCCUGCACCAGGACAGAAAGACCCUAUGAAGCUUUACUGUAGCCUGGAAUGGUGUUCGGGCUUCGCUUGCGCAGGAUAGGUGGGAGGCGUUGAAGUACCCCUUGUGGGGGGUAUGGAGCCAACGGUGAGAUACCACUCUGGCGAGGCUAGAAUUCUAACCUUGACCCCUGAAUCGGGGCGAGGAACAGUUUCAGGUGGGCAGUUUGACUGGGGCGGUCGCCUCCUAAAAGGUAACGGAGGCGCGCAAAGGUUCCCUCAGCCUGGUUGGAAACCAGGCGGCGAGUGUAAAGGCAAAAGGGAGCUUGACUGCAAGAGCUACAACUCAAGCAGGGACGAAAGUCGGCCUUAGUGAUCCGACGGCACCGCGUGGAAGGGCCGUCGCUCAACGGAUAAAAGUUACUCUAGGGAUAACAGGCUGAUCUCCCCCAAGAGUUCACAUCGACGGGGAGGUUUGGCACCUCGAUGUCGGCUCAUCGCAACCUGGGGCGGAAGUACGUCCCAAGGGUUGGGCUGUUCGCCCAUUAAAGCGGUACGUGAGCUGGGUUCAGAACGUCGUGAGACAGUUCGGUCCAUAUCCGGUGCAGGCGUAAGAGCAUUGAGAGGAUCCCUCCUUAGUACGAGAGGACCGGGAGGGACGCACCGCUGGUGUACCAGUUAUCGUGCCAACGGUAAACGCUGGGUAGCCAAGUGCGGAGCGGAUAACCGCUGAAAGCAUCUAAGUGGGAAGCCCACCUCAAGAUGAGUGCUCUCAUGGAAAUAAUCCAGUAAGGUCACAGGAAGAACACCUGUAAAUAGGCGCCAGGUGGAAGUGCAGCAAUGUAUGCAGCCGAAGCGUCCUAAUAGACCGAGGGCUUGACCUCAA